AUGAUCUGCCUAAGCUGGAACUGCCGGGGGCUUGGGAAGCCCGAGGCAGUUCGCGAGCUUCGCAAUGUUGUGAAGCAAGAAGGGCCUGUGUUGGUCUUUGUUAUGGAGACGAAGAUCAAAAGGAAACGUGUUGAGAAUUUGAAGCAGACCUUGGGGUUUGCUGGCUGCUUCGCAGUGGACAGCGAUGGACUCAGUGGGGGCAUCGGUCUCUAUUGGUCCAAAGAUGUUUCUGUCGAGCUCAAGAACUACAGUUCGGCCCACAUCGAUGUUGUGGUGUGCGAUGGCCUUGAUAACUCUGCUACUUGGAGAUUCACUGGCUUCUAUGGAGCGCCACGAGCUGAGAAUAGACAUCACAGUUGGCGGUUCCUCCGUACCCUACAUGGCCUGCCACACUCAGCGUGGUUAUGUAUGGGUGAUUUCAACGAAACCCUUUAUGGGAGUGAGCAUUUCAGUCGUGCAGCACGACCGGACUGGCAAAUGAGAGUUCUCCAGGAUCUUGGUUGGUCGGGAGUUCCGUACACCUGGGAUAACCGGCAAUCCGGAGAUGCUAAUGUUAAAGCCCGGCUGGAUCGGGCCUUUGCCAACGAGGAAUUCAGACAGAGAUUUGAACACACUCGUGUGCGCCAUGUGUGCUCAGUAGAAUCUGACCACUGCUUUGUGGUGGUCGAUCUAUGGCGGCAAAACUCCAACAACAACUCACAUCACUAG
rnacentral:rRNA from 1 species